GCUAUCUUUGAGUUUGUGCUAAAUACAGACACUUUAAAUAAUUUUCAUGCCCCUAAUUCGAUUACUUCAUCUACCAAUAUUUGGAGACAAAGACAUGAUGGAUUUUGACCAGUCUAUAUAAAUCCUAUUUCAUUAUUCAUUUCAGUCUUUCAGCAAACUUUGGUGGAGCAUCAACUCCAGUUUGGGAAGCUAUUGGCACUAAUAGCCACAAAAAUGAAUGACACACACCUCCCUUCAAAGUCCGUGUGCUGCUAGGCGAGAUCCAUGAAACAAAGUAAUCACGAUGCAAUAUAUUCAAAUGCCAGAAGCAUGUAUUUCCCAAGAGGGCAUACAGGACUAGUUAAAAUUCUUGAGGCUGCAACAUCUCUCACUACACCACGGCAUCUCACCUUGUGAUGUGAAACCCAGUCUCUCUCUUUCCAGUGUCCUGCACCAGGAGUUGGUCCCAGGCUACUUAUGUGUCCAGAGGAGCAAGGAAGGAAGCAGCCUAAGGGGCACACGUUUCCUAACGGAGGUUUCUAUCAAAUUCACUCCUUCAGCUCUACACGCUCCCUGCCCUCCCUAGACCUGGAAGCCUUGAAGAAUUCCAAAGAAUGCACGUCUAGUGUCGUCCUUGGGAUUGCGAUGUGUGGCAGGAGGUCAAAGGCACAAGAGCAGAUGAAAACUCUUCUGCUCUACAAAGAAAACAGGAAAAUGUCCAGAGCUCAGAAACGGAUCAGUAAUGUAUGUGCCAUCAUUCUUUCUAAAGCUACAUUUGAAAUAUUUUUGGCUUUAACUUUCCUUCCCUUAUACCAAUCAUCUUAGUUGUUAAGUUUGUUUAGAAAGUAAUUUUUAAAAGAUUACACUGAUAACCCCAAGCCAGUCUGAGCCCGGCUAAGUCUGCUGAUGCGGGACUCUUAAAAUGUCCAUUAGUACACGUCUCUUGUCACUUAUCACCCAGGGGGUCAAGCCUUUGGUAUGAAAGUUGUUUAUAAACUGGUAGCUUUAUUUUUAAAACAGAAAGGAAGGCCUGAGGUGCAGCUGGGCAGAAGGCCGUUCACUUAGAGCUUCUAGACAACCACGUUGUCUAGAAGCCGAGACAGCACGUUAUGAACCAGCCCCGCGUUUGUAUUUUACGGCUCAACCAUUAAUCACCGAUCUUCUGUUGGAACUUGAUGUAAAGGGUCUCGAUGGCUUUCUGAAACCGUGAGGUACUGUUGGGAAGCCAAGGGUUGGUUGUUUCUUUUUCUUCUAUCUAAUCCCACAACCGAAAGAUAUAAUACUAACUUUUAUUAAAGGGACGCAAUUUCAUGAAGCUUGUGAUUCUCUAUCUCGCAAUUAUGUGGGCGUUACUGAAGCCUCCUGCGGGGUUUCCCCGAGUUUGGGGGGUGCGGGUAAAGACCUAGUUGAAUUGACCUAAAUCAACUAGCCGUCCAAAAUCAUACCUUCUUUCAAAUAAUAACAAUUUCCCUCAUGGCCGUGGGGGCCAUCCAUUCGUCCCUGUAAGAUUUUCACUCCUGUAAUUUCCUCUCCCUCCCCCAGGUAUCCCUUCUAGAAGCUCACCCUGCCUCCUUCCUGCCACCGACUCCAGUUUGAUGGGCGUAAGCAAUCCGUAUAGUCCCUUUCCCCAUCUGUCUUCUUGAUUCAGGAGUGGGCAUGCGGCCUACGUGGCAUCCACGGAACCAGAGUGAACCUGGGGACGCUUCCUUUAGGACAGUGAAGUCCCACAGGGCCGCGGUCACUGAUGCCACCGUGAGGUCGGUCAGCCUGCGAGUCGCACGGAUCAAGGACAGGGAGCCGAGACAGCACAACCACAGAGAGACGG
rnacentral:lncRNA from 12 species